rnacentral:misc_RNA from 1 species
UCUCCGUAGGUGAGUACAAGACCCGAUCACUCGGAUCCGUAGAUCGACAAACGCUAACUUCUUACCAGGUGAACCUGCGGAGGGAUCAUUACCGGAGUGCCCAGCGCACCGAAACCCUUGCCGACGCACCCCCUCUGCCUCGGCGGUGGCCCCCUUUCGCCGGGCGGGCCCCGCCGGAAGAGAACGCGGACCCUAGCCGACCGUGCCGUCCGAGAGGAAGGAAUACAACAGUUGA